AUGAAAUUAUCAACAAAAUCUUUUGAACCACCCUUGCCAACCUCUCCAACUCCAACAUUCAUUCAACAUCAACAUCCAAAACCGUGGAUUUUACAAAAACAAUACACAUCGACAAAAAGAGUAGAGACGAAGAACAAAGAGGAAAGUAAGAUGGAAACGCAAAGCAGAGAAGAACCGUACCUCAUCAAAAAUCCGGCGAAAACCUCCUCGUCGAAGGGUUUCCGAUCAAGAAAUUCAGGUGAUGGUUCUCCGAUUAGGGUUGUGGUUUGUUCAGGCCAAAAAUGGUUCCCAAAAGACUAUGUUUCAUAA